CACGUAGGGUGCGAGCGUUGUCCGGAAUUAUUGGGCGUAAAGAGCUCGUAGGCGGUGUGUCGGCGUCGGCCGUGAAAACCUGCAGCUUAACUGUGGGCUUGCGGUCGAUUACGGGCAUCACUGGAGUUCCGGCAGGGGAGACUGGAAUUCCUGGUGUAGCGGUGAAAUGCGCAGAUACUCAGGAGGAACACCGGUGGCGAAGGCGGGUCUCUGGGCCGAUGACUGCGCUGAGGAGCGAAAGCGUGGGGAGCGAACAGG
rnacentral:rRNA from 1 species